UGCAAUGUGAUAGCUGAUUCCUGGU
rnacentral:piRNA from 1 species